AACGAACGCUGGCGGCAUGCCUAACACAUGCAAGUCGAACGAGAUCUUCGGGUCUAGUGGCGGACGGGUGAGUAACACGUGGGAACGUACCCUUAGGUUCGGAACAACACAGGGAAACUUGUGCUAAUACCGGAUAAGCCCUUCGGGGGAAAGAUUUAACGCCUUUGGAGCGGCCCGCGUCUGAUUAGCUUGUUGGUGAGGUAAUGGCUCACCAAGGCUACGAUCAGUAGCUGGUCUGAGAGGAUGGCCAGCCACACUGGGACUGAGACACGGCCCAGACUCCUACGGGAGGCAGCAGUGGGGAAUCUUGCGCAAUGGGCGAAAGCCUGACGCAGCCAUGCCGCGUGGAUGAUGAAGGUCUUAGGAUUGUAAAAUCCUUUCACCGGGGACGAUAAUGACGGUACCCGGAGAAGAAGCCCCGGCUAACUUCGUGCCAGCCGCCGCCGUAA
rnacentral:rRNA from 1 species